ensembl:lncRNA
CCUGGUGUGGCUCUGUGCUGCCUCCCCCUGUCUCUCGGUGGGGUCACGGGGUCACAGGGGUCCAUUCUGUGGUGUUGAUGGGUCAGUGCUUAGCGUCACCGUCCUGUAAAUGGUCGACCCGGAUGCUUUUCCGGGCCACUGCAGGAUACCGAUGUAUAUGUCUCUUUGGAUAAAAGCGUCUGCUAAAUACUGAACCCUUAUCUUGACUCUUUGGAUAAAAGCCGUCUGCUAAAUACUGAACCCUUAUCUUGACUCUUUGGAUAAAAGCGUCUGCUAAAUACUGAACCCUUAUCUUGACUCUUUGGAUAAAAGCGUCUGCUAAAUACUGAACCCUUAUCUUGUCUCUUUGGAUAAAAGCGUCUGCUAAAUACUGAACCCUUAUCUUGAUUCUUUGGAUAAAAGCCGUCUGCUAAAUACUGAACCCUUAUCUUGUCUCUUUGGAUAAAAGCGUCUGCUAAAUACUGAACCCUUAUAUUGA